rnacentral:misc_RNA from 1 species
UUAAUAAAAGUAAAGCCCUUUAAAUUUAGAAAAAGGAGCAAAGGAAGGAUUAUACAUAUUGCAAAGACGCUUAUAAAAAAAAAUACAUAUUACAAAGACAGAGCUAAAAAUUUCACUCCUCUCUUUCUACUUUUCUGAGAAAAGACAAUGAAAAACAGAAAAGAAGGACAAGAAAUUAUGAGAAUUAAAACCCUAUUACUAGUAGCUUUUGAAUUGUAGAUAUAAGAUUGAUGAAGAAGUCAUAAGGGUUGUUAUCUUUCAUCUCUGAGUUCCUUCAACGAGUUCCCUAGUUGGCACUUAGAGAAAAGAGAUGUAGAUAGAGAGAGAGAGAGAG